CCUAGACUUGUCCUCGAAGAAAAAUUUCUGCUUAGCUUUUUUACCACGAAAAGCUUUUGAUAAACAAGCAGGCCUAUAUAUGGGUCUCUAUCUGGGUACAGCUUCCAAUCUCAGUCUAUUGACCGGUUGUCAUCUAGAUGUUUGGAAUGUCCAAGAUUGCUGCAGAGACGAGUGCUGUUUCUAAAUAAGUUGAAAGUUCUCUUCCCCUCCGCACUGACUAGUUUAUGUUUAGUUUAUGCAGUUUUGGAACAAUAUGAUUUAGCCUAUAUAUGGCUCAAAUAUGGUACAAGCGGGUGUUGUUAAGACUUUGUUACUGUGAUUCCAGUUUGAGUUUAAAUGAUUAAAUUUGAAUGUUUUAAUGA